rnacentral:rRNA from 1 species
UACAGAGGUCUCAAGCGUUGUUCGGAUUCAUUGGGCGUAAAGGGUGCGUAGGCGGUAGGGUAAGUCUGGUGUGAAAUCCUGGAGCUUAACUUCAGAAAUGCACUGGAUACUGCUUUGCUAGAGGACUGGAGAGGAGAUUGGAAUUCACGGUGUAGCAGUGAAAUGCGUAGAUAUCGUGAGGAAGACCAGUGGCGUAAGCGAAUCUCUGGACAGUUCCUGACGCUGAGGCACGAAGGCUAGGGGAGCAAACGGG